UCUAUUGGCGCUAUAUACACCGUAAUAUUGUAAAUGGUGAGCAUGAACCAGCACAUGCACCUCAGGGGUCUGCUCAUAACAACUCAAACGAAGCCACUCAUGCUGCAAGUGCAUCAGAACGCCGUAGAAAUGCUGCACGAAAUGCUGUGCUUGCUAAUCCUAGGUACCCCUACCUUCUUUUUUCGUAAAAAAAUGGAUUGAUAUUUACAAUGAAUAUGAUUGACUGUCACUUGUUUUUGUUCAUUUAUGCUAAAUGACUAUGCAUUAAAUAUGAAUGCACUAUGCCAUCUGCAGGAUUAAUGCGCUGUUUGACCACUUCAAGAUGGCCCUGGAUUGUUUCUUUGCCGUCUGGUUUGUUGUUGGAAACGUGUGGAUAUUCGGUGGCCGUUCUUCUGCUGCUGAUGCACCAAACUUGUACAGGUAAAUGCAAACUAUUCUUCCAUGGAUGAGAUGCCAUCUCAUUAUCCUGUUGCUAACUUUUACUUCCCACCAGGUUGUGCAUUGUGUUCCUCACUUUCAGUUGCAUUGGGUAUGCCAUGCCGUUCAUCCUCUGUGCAAUGAUAUGCUGUUGUCUUCCCUGCAUUAUAUCUGUUAUGGGUUUUAGAGAAGAUACAAACAAUACAAGGGGUGCUACCUCAGAAUCUAUCAAUGCUUUGCCUACAUAUAAAUUCAAAACCAAGAAACGCCGCCAUGGUUCAGGAAGUGAAGCUGAAGGACAAGAAGGAGGGAUAGUGGCUGCAGGGACUGACAAGGAGCGAUCGCUUUCUGCUGAAGACGCUGUACGUCUAUCUUGAAUUUUUAGGAGUUUUUUUUAAUCAUCACUUAUUUGUUUUCUUAUUACUCUUUGGUAUUGCAGGUUUGCUGCAUUUGUCUUGCAAAGUAUGCGCACAAUGAUGAGCUCCGUGAACUUCCAUGUGCACACUGUUUCCACAAGGAUUGUGUUGAUAAAUGGCUUAAGAUAAAUGCACUUUGCCCUCUAUGCAAAUCUGAGAUAGCGGGCUCGUCUGGUACUUCUGAUGCUCGUCAAUUAGAUCAGAACGCCAUUCCUGUGCAGGAGAUCGAAAUGCAUUAGGUUGGUCUGCUCUCUCAGCUUUUCACAUAAGAAUACAUCUGAUUGUGGCUC
rnacentral:lncRNA from 1 species